rnacentral:rRNA from 1 species
GACGAACGCUGGCGGCGUGCUUAAUACAUGCAAGUCGAGCGAACAGGCCCUGCGUUUGCUCCUUUCACGUUUGGCGAGGACGUGUGAGACACAUGAGUAUACCCUCCUUAUAUGUCUGGUAAAUCCUCGGGAAACCGGCGCUAACCGGGGAUAAUCUAUUGCACCGCGUGGUUGGAUGGUAAGAGUCGGCUGUUGUGUAUGGUCUCGCGGCUUAUCAGCUGGUUGGUGGGGUAGUGGCGUACCAAGGCUAUGACGGGUAGCCGGCCUGAGAGGGUGACCGGACACAUUGGGACUGAGAUACGGCACAGACUCCUACGGGAGGCAGCAGUGGGGAAUAUUGCAAAAUGGGCGGAAGCAUGAUGCAGCAAGGCCGCGUGCGGGAUGACGGCCUUCGGGUUGUAAACCGCUUUCGCCUGUGACGAAGCGUGAGUGACGGUAAUGGGUAAAGAAGCACCGGCUAAGUACGUG